rnacentral:lncRNA from 1 species
AUGCCUUCCAGCUGGCCUAGCGGUUCUAGAUUUGACUGUUUGACGUCAUUCUAGGGUUGGAUUGGUUCUUCUACUAGUGGUGCUACCUGAGUCUGCAAAGACAAGGUAGUCUAGUCCAGAGGUCAGGAUGGAUCAGAGGUAGUCCUUUGAGGGGACGGAGUAGGGAUACCUAGAGGUUUGUUAUCAGCCUUAUAGGCUCGUAUGUUGCUCAGGAGAGGUUGUCAGGGGUUUCUAGUUUAUGUGAGAAUGUAUAGCAGUCAGGUCAGGGAGCCGCCUCAGUGCCCGUAAUCAGAAAAGUUCGUAGAUGUUUCCCAGAUGAGUUCUCAGGACUACCGCCUGUCAGGGAGAUAGAGUUCAAAAUAGAAGUAAUGCAUGGAAUUGGAC